rnacentral:lncRNA from 1 species
AAGAGAUACAUGUAGCCUUCACAGUUUGAAAAGAGAUAGCCUUUCUUUUUAGAGGACCAUUUCUCCAGGGCUCGUUUUCUCGCAAAAUCAUAGUGCCAAAAUAAGAAAAUUCUAGCUACUAGGCUUUCAGGCGAAAUGGCGGAAACACGCAUCAAGGACUAAACCAGUUUAGAUGCAGUGAUAAAGAGCAGAGCCCUACUGUCUAGACUUUCAAACCCUUUCAGGUUACCUGGAUUCGCCGAGUUUAAUUGACAUCUCCGUUUUACCGCAUUGAAACGAACCCAAGACCUAUAGCUCGCGUGCCAAAGUCCUGCGAAAGUUAAUCACGUAUGAUCACAAUCCAAAAUGCCAGCAACACUAAGAUGCAUCUCAAAUUUCAUUCACCUGGGAACUGAACUCUAAUCCCCGAGUUGUGCAAUCUGUUGCUCUACGAGUGACAAAAUCUAAGCAUCAACCUCACUAAACACGUGAAUUUAUGUAAAUUUAUCGUUUUAUAAUUCUUGUAUUGAUCUUUCUUCACAGACUAUUACAUCCAUGUGAAAUCAAUCAAGAUAUUGCUUCAAUUAACUGCCACAAAGGAAAUUACUUGGCUUGUGACUAAGAAAGCUGGAAGAAGAGAUUUUAAAUAAAAUCGGUUUCAGAACAUAAUUACAGGCAAUAUCUCUUUCAAUUUAUGAUGACUAUGAUACUAUUUCAAGAAAUUAAACAUCGAUCAUUAAAUUCAUUCUUGAUUUUAAGUCUAGUCUUAUCUACUUUUGAGCCGACAUAUUGCACAAAUCCCUAGUUCAUCAACUAUUUAAAAAACCCAAUGGGCUCUAAUUGGCCAAAACAGGCUCUAGUUGGGUAAAGACAUCUGGUGGACGAAUCUGCAACUGUUUGAAACUUCAUUAUUAAUUGCUGUGAGAUUGCGACUAACGAGUGGUACCCUUGAUAGUUACGUCCCGUAAUUUUUGUGUUCCGCAGGAUAAUUCAACUCAGAACUUACGGUUUGUCAUUUACAAUUAGGGUUUCACUUGUCAUCAGCUAAGCAAGUUACCAACUAGAUAAUUGUGGGUUACCUGUGUCUGCCACUCACCAUCAUCCUAUUUCUCAUUCUUAGACUUCGCCUUCUGCCUACCAUUGUACUAGACAUGAUACUUUUAUUGCUACAAAGUUCAUGAAACUAAAACAAUUGAUGCUGACACUGUGGUUUACUCUUGUUUCCCAUAUGUUGUGUGCAGCAUAUUCAUAUGUAUGUUGGGAAACAUACACCUUUCCAUCAUCAAACCGUCAAACAUCCACCAAACUGUCAUGUUUUCAGAAGCCAUCUUCACAUCUCUACUUAACCAGCUAACAUGACUAGGCUUUCACACCAUCUCCACAUUUUGUGUUGAAUUAUUCAUCUUCCUUCUCUGCAAAAUUACCUUCCCGACAACUUCGACGCCCCCAAUGGACCGCACGCAACUACUCUAUCUUCUUUGUCCCUCGUUUGCAAAAUCAAUCAUCAUCAUUACAGUCGUGCUGCAUUCUCCUCCCGGGGCCAUCAUGCGUAGCGCCAUAGCUGAGAAACAUGGAGGAAUUUACCUUAGGGGGUGCAGCCAAGCAGAAAUCCCGCGGCGAUGGAGAAGGAGUUCACCGAGGAACGUCGUGCUGUGGUAUUGUUUUGUUUUGUGUAUAGAACUAGUUAACCCGUUGGCUGCCACCCCGUUUGCGCCCCAUUUUUUUUGUAGCUUGUAGGGACCGGGCGCUGUUCUACCUCAUGGCCUAUGCCAUGGGGGGAACAGUCGCCGCGCCUUUAGGCGCCGUAGGCAAUGCACCAGUAGGGACUUCUCUUUGUCGAUGCGGUGGUAGAUUCCUGGGGUGUGCAUUCCCGGAAUGGAAUCUAUUACCGUGUCAGCCCGGACUUGUCUUCGGACAAGUCCCCCCUUGUUCGUGGAUCCAUCUGACGCGAAGCGUAGCAACUGUAGAUAGGCAACCUAUGGGUUGUAUGGCCUGGCAGCCAACGGGUUAACUAGUUAGUUGUAUGUAUUUGUAUGUAUGUAUUUCUGUAUGUGAUAUGUUAUGUAAAAUAGUGGAGGAAUUGAUGGGUGGAGGUGGGA